rnacentral:rRNA from 1 species
CCGCGGGAUUAGAGUUUGAUCAUGGCUCAGAUUGAACGCUGGCGGCAGGCCUAACACAUGCAAGUCGAGCGGUAACAGGAAUUAGCUUGCUAAUUCGCUGACGAGCGGCGGACGGGUGAGUAAUGCCUGGGAAUAUGCCUUAGUGUGGGGGAUAACUAUUGGAAACGAUAGCUAAUACCGCAUAAUGUCUUCGGACCAAAGAGGGGGACCUUCGGGCCUCUCGCGCUAAGAUUAGCCCAGGUGAGAUUAGCUUGUUGGUGAGGUAAGAGCUCACCAAGGCGACGAUCUCUAGCUGGUCUGAGAGGAUGAUCAGCCACACUGGAACUGAGACACGGUCCAGACUCCUACGGGAGGCAGCAGUGGGGAAUAUUGCACAAUGGGCGCAAGCCUGAUGCAGCCAUGCCGCGUGUAUGAAGAAGGCCUUCGGGUUGUAAAGUACUUUCAGUGGGGAGGAAGGUGUUGUCGUUAAUAGCGGCAGCAUUUGACGUUACCCACAGAAGAAGCACCGGCUAACUCCGUGCCAGCAGCCGCGGUAAUACGGAGGGUGCGAGCGUUAAUCGGAAUUACUGGGCGUAAAGCGCAUGCAGGUGGUUCAUUAAGUCAGAUGUGAAAGCCCGGGGCUCAACCUCGGAACCGCAUUUGAAACUGGUGAACUAGAGUGCUGUAGAGGGGGGUAGAAUUUCA